CGCCAGACUCCUACGGGAGGCAGCAGUGGGGAAUAUUGGGCAAUGGGCGCAAGCCUGACCCAGCAACGCCGCGUGAAGGAAGAAGGCUUUCGGGUUGUAAACUUCUUUUAAGAGGGAAGAGCAGAAGACGGUACCUCUUGAAUAAGCUCCGGCUAACUACGUGCCAGCAGCCGCGGUAAUACGUAGGGAGCGAGCGUUGUCCGGAUUUACUGGGUGCAAAGGGCGUGCAGCCGGGAGUACAAGUCAGAUGUGAAAUCCCGCGGCUCAACCGCGGAACUGCAUUUGAAACUGUAUUUCUUGAGUACUGGAGAGGCAGACGGAAUUCCUAGUGUAGCGGUGAAAUGCGUAGAUAUUAGGAGGAACACCAGAGGCGAAGGCGGCUAACUGGACUGUAACUGACGCUGAGGCACGAAAGUGUGGGGAGCAAACAGGAUUAGAUACCCUUGUAUC
rnacentral:rRNA from 1 species